rnacentral:rRNA from 1 species
GAUGAACGCUAGCGGCAGGCUUAAUACAUAGCAAGUCGAAGGGUAACAUGGUAGCAAUACUGAUGACGACUGGCGCACGGGUGCGUAACACGUAUGCAACCUACCUUUAACUGGAGCAUAGACCCUCGAAAGAGGGAUUAAUACUCCAUAACAUAGUGAAAUGGCAUCAUUUUAUUAGUUAAACCUCCGGGGGUUAAAGAUGGGCAUGCGGUGCAUUAGCUAGUUGGUGAGGUAAUGGCUCACCAAGGCUACGAUGCAUAGGGGUUCUGAGAGGACAUACCCCCACACUGGUACUGAGACACGGACCAGACUCCUACGGGAGGCAGCAGUAAGGAAUAUUGGACAAUGGUGGCAACACUGAUCCAGCCAUGCCGCGUGCAGGAUGACGGCCCUAUGGGUUGUAAACUGCUUUUGUACGGGAAAAAACCCUCGUUCGUGAACGAGGCUGAUGGUACCGUAAGAAUAAGGAUCGGCUAACUCCGUG